CAGACCUCUGAUCAGGGAAGACUACCCGCUGAGUUUAAGCAUAUCACUAAGCGGAGGAGAAGAAACUAACCAGGAUUUCCCUAGUAACGGCGAGCGAACCGGGG
rnacentral:rRNA from 1 species